CCUCUUACCCCAGACUCCUCACCUAUGGAGUCUCCUGAGGAGCCGUUUUCUCCCUAAUCCCAGUCAACAUGCAGCCACUAGGAGAAUUGAUUUGGAGCAGCUAUUGAAGAGCGUUUCAAAGCAAAAGUAAAUGUCUAAACAACACGUGUAUCUAAGUAAUUAUGCAGCAUGCUAAUUAAACUACAAAACUAUGGGUCUUUAGAUGAACACUGACUUAACUCAAAAGAGCAAGCACUCACUUCAUAACAUUUCAUCUCGGCAGAACCCGAAUUGGAAUUUUAGGACAAGACCUUAUGACCCAAUCCAUUUCCUCAGACUUCUACCCAAUAUAUUGAUUAUGGUGUUUACAUAUAGCAUAACUCUGAGCUGCAAAUGUUUCAACGCUCACACUAUCAUCUCCGUCCCAGAGGCUAGGGAAGAUUAGAAGGUGAAAAAAAUACACUUGCGAUGAAAUGUUCUGAGCUCAUGCAGUCUUCCCACACUGAAAGAUCCCAGCAGAAUGCGUGGAGGCAAGCAAUGUCAGAGUCCAGGGAAGCACAAUAUGAAUGUGAGGACAGGUGGCGGGUUGAAAAUGAUAGGUGGCGUCAGCUUGCUGACAGAAGGCAGGAGGCAAUGCUAAGGCUACUGGAGGAUCAAACAGAUAUACUCCGGCGUAUGGUUCAGCUGCAGGAAAGGCAGGAGCAUAGAUUGCCGCUGCAGCCCCUGUGUAACCAACCGCCCUCCUCCCCAAGUUCCAUAGCCUCCUCACCCAGAUGCCCAAGAACGUGAUUCGGGGACCUCCGGGCAGCCAAGGACUCCACCCUAGAGGACUGCCCAAGCAACAGAAAGCUGGCAUUCAAUAAGUUUUAAAGUGCAGUGUGGUCUUGUCCUUCCUUCCUCCCUGACCCCUCCCAGGCUACCUUGGCAGUUA